GCUGGCGCUCCACCCCCUCGGGCUCGGGCCCAGAUAAUAGGCCCGUGCAGGGCACUAAUCCAGGGGGAAGUGGCCAGAGUCAGGUUAGGGGGAAGUGCACUCUUAGAAAAAAGGGUUCUUGUGGGUGCUAAAUAGAACCAUUGGGGUUCUUUGCCAAGGAAAUAGAACCUUUUGCCUGAAAAGGGUGCUAUUUCUUACUCGCGAGGAUUAUUUGAACUUAAAUGACCGUUUAUGGAACCCUUUCCCGGAGACGCUCACUCUGCUGCAGUGGAUUUAACGAUGAAGAUGUCUGUCAAUGAUGAAGAUGUCUGAAACACAAUCUUGUUUUUGAGAGGUGGAAAAGUUACGCAAAUCAUCGUUGGUUCAGUACCCAAACCAUAAAAAAUACACUGAUGUCCUGUGGUGUCUGAUCACUAGAUAUCCAUUUCUUAAUGACCACAGCUAAUCUGGUUAUGAGACCCUGCUGGAGUGUAUUAAGAAUAAGUUCAAAAAGGAAAGGUCUCCUUUGAUAAACUUGACGACGGUGCAGGAUAUUAAGAGAAAGUUUGGUGUCAGAAGACAAAGAAUUGUGGGCCAUGUGCCUCUGGAGGACCCACCUGGACAUCAGAGAGCAAAAAAGUACAGAGUGGGGGUCCAGAUGUCUUCUGAUUACGAGCCAACACAAGAGAUUAUGUUGGACCUUGAAGCAGUUGGGGAGGACUACCACAGCUUUCAAGAGCAUAUAAACGCCAUAAACAAUUAGUUGUGCCGUCGUCAGCCAGAUAUUAGUCAUAUAAUGGACAGGAUGAGGCAAACUGUCUAUAAGAGGGUAGAGCAAAUGGGAAAACCAACUGAGGAGGUGAUGGAGAUGUUCCAAUUUCUUUGGGUGCCAGAGCUGAUGCAUCAUGAAAUGAAGUUGCGGUUUGGACUGGACUUAAAGCUAAGCCUUCAUAACACCCUCGGUAUAUUGACCCCUAACGUCAUCAGAGUGGCUGACAGUGGGAGUCAGAGGGAGAGCCUGUCAAGCCUACGAGAUACUAACACAGAUGACCUUCAAAAAAGUGCUGCUGUCCUAAUUUUGCCUGCCCUUUUUAAGGAGGAUGCCAAGUUUCUGUAUUGUUUAGACGAGGAACCACUGAGCGUGUUUCCAACCAUCAUCUUCCAGGGUGGUGAUACUCCCCUCCUUGCCAGGAGAGCAUCCAUAAAGAUGGAUGGCAUCACAAUAGCAAGUGGAGAGAUGGAUGUGCCACAUGCCCUCCAAUGCGAAUUUGUCAUUGGCCCCUCCCCUGACAUUGAUGCCUCCUUAGGCCUUAUCUGUAUUUUUUGUUUAUAUUUUCUUUUUGAUGUUCAGUACCCAAAAGAGGCCCACCACACAUUACUAUUCUUUGACAGACGCCUUAACCUGUCUAUGUCUAAGCCCUCCACUCCAGUGUUGCGUGUGGAAAAAAUGUUAUCAUAAAGUGUGUUUUAUAAUCAUUUGAAAUGUAUUAAUUUGUAAAAAUGUAACUAUUGCUGUUUUGAGCAUAUUUAUGACACAUUUUUUAUGCAAGUAACAGAAGAUAUGUUUAAGCAAUGAAUAUGUAAAUUAAUGUAAAUAUGUAUCUAUUGUUGUUUUGAGUGUCUUAUGACACACAUUUUUUUGCGAGUAAUAUAAAAGAUAUGCUAAAGCAAUGAAUAUGUAAAUUAAUGUAGAAAUACUGAAUACAGUAUUUGAAUGAUAA